GGGCCUGCCAGGAAUCGAUGGCAGUGCGAGAACUUUUCAAUCAAGCCAGAGCUACACAUUGCUCUGUAAAAACCAUGUGUACGAGACAAAUGCAAACAUCAUCUCAAAGGUACGAAACGCAUUUUCAAUGCCAGUACCUGUAAUGGUUGCUGCGUAAAUAUUCGCCAACCCAUCCGUUCUAAUGUGCCCUACAUUAGAAGCCGGGUGUCAUAUCACUGGGCUAUAUCAUGCUUCCUGACCUAGCAUGAAAGAACUUUGCGGUCAGAACGUGUUAUGAUCUUUUCGUUCCGUUCUAGAUCAUAAAGCGUUAUUACAACGGAACAAAGCUUGUAGCAAUUGGAUUGCUAUCCCUGACCAGACGGGGGUUCAACUCCCCCCAGGUCCACCA
rnacentral:tmRNA from 4 species